rnacentral:rRNA from 1 species
CGGUGUCUUCGGACAUAGUGGCGCACGGGUGCGUAACACGUAUGCAACCUACCUUACAUUGGGGGAUAGCCUUUCGAAAGGGAGAUUAAUACCGCAUAAGACAGUAGUCUGGCAUCAGACAGCUGUUAAAGAUUUAUCGAUGUAAGCUGGGCAUGCGUCCAAUUAGUUAGUUGGCGAGGUAACGGCUCACCAAGACUAUGAUUGGUAGGGGAACUGAGAGGUCAAUCCCCCACACUGGCACUGAGAUACGGGCCAGACUCCUACGGGAGGCAGCAGUAGGGAAUAUUGGGCAAUGGACGCAAGUCUGACCCAGCCAUGCCGCGUGCAGGAAGAAGGCGUUAUGCGUUGUAAACUGCUUUUAUACAGGAAGAAACGACUCUUGCGAGAGGCAUUGACGGUACUGUAUGAAUAAGCACCGGCUAACUCCGUGCCAGCAGCCGCGGUAAUACGGAGGGUGCAAGCGUUGUCCGGAUUUAUUGGGUUUAAAGGGUGCGCAGGUGGUUUAUUAAGUCAGUGGUGAAAGACGGUCGCUCAACGAUUGCAGUGCCAUUGAAACUGGUAGACUUGAGUAAAGUAGAGGUGGGCGGAAUUGAUAGUGU